AGUAUUUCCCAAACAAUGGAUCGGUCUUCCUUCGGCCCCCGGCGCUUCGGUUCGAAACGGCACAGACUUCUGCGAACUGCAACCCGGUGGCCGGCUAGACGGUUUCUCUGGUCUAAGUGGGCGGCCCCGGUUCCCAAUGGCACGCCGGUGGACUCGGGCCCAACCGACGGGAGGCGGCCGUUUUCCCCGAGGCCGCUUAGCCCGGUUAGUCGGACGUGUUAAAAGGCCGAGGAGACGGCCGGGCCAAUUAUCCCGAGACGGGAAGAAAGGGUGGGUAGGUAAUUACGGCCAGACGGGUGAUAGGUGGCUUAACUCCCCGGUGGUCCCUUUACCUACGGAGGAUUUUCCGUCCCGCUGGCACUCCAUAGGUCGCCUACAGAAAUUAGUCGGCGCCUAAAAUUAUUCUCCAGCCACCUGGGGGGCCAUCCGAACCCGU
rnacentral:lncRNA from 1 species